AACGAACGCUGGCGGCAUGCCUAACACAUGCAAGUCGAACGGAACGGCCCUGCUUGCAGGGUACUGGAGUGGUGAACGGGUGAAUAACGCGUUGGUGAUCUGCCCUGCACUUCGGGAUAAGCCUGAGAAACUGGGUCUAACACCGGACAGGAGCCAUAUUGAGUGUGAUGGUUGGAAAGUUUUUUCGGUGUAGGAUGAGCUCGAGGCCUAUCAGCUUGUUGGUGGGGUAAUGGCCUACCAAGGCGGCGACGGGUAGCCGGCCUGAGAGGGUGGACGGCCACACUGGGACUGAGAUACGGCCCAGACUCCUACGGGAGGCAGCAGUGGGGAAUAUUGCACAAUGGGCGGAAGCCUGAUGCAGCGACGCCGCGUGGGGGAUGACGGCCAUCGGGUUGUAUUCUCCUGUCGCUAUGGACGAAGCGUUUGUGACGGUACCUAGAUAAGAAGCACCGGCUAACUACAUG
rnacentral:rRNA from 1 species